rnacentral:piRNA from 1 species
UACAUCUGAAACAGGAUGAAU